CCUAGUGAUGAUAGCGGAGAGGAAACACCCGUUCCCAUCCCGAACACGGAAGUUAAGCUCUCCAGCGCCGAUGGUAGUUGGGGCCAGCGCCCCUGGUGGAGGAUUAGCUCAGCUGGGA
rnacentral:rRNA from 1 species